rnacentral:rRNA from 1 species
GAUGAACGCUGGCGGCGUGCCUAAUACAUGCAAGUCGAGCGAACGGACGAGAAGCUUGCUUCUCUGAUGUUAGCGGCGGACGGGUGAGUAACACGUGGAUAACCUACCUAUAAGACUGGGAUAACUUCGGGAAACCGUAGCUAAUACCGGAUAGUAUUUUGAACCGCAUGGUUCAAAAGUGGAAGACGGUCUUGCUGUCACUUAUAGAUGGAUCCGCGCUGCAUUAGCUAGUUGGUAAGGUAACGGCUUACCAAGGCAACGAUGCAUAGCCGACCUGAGAGGGUGAUCGGCCACACUGGAACUGAGACACGGUCCAGACUCCUACGGGAGGCAGCAGUAGGGAAUCUUCCGCAAUGGGCGAAAGCCUGACGGAGCAACGCCGCGUGAGUGAUGAAGGUCUUCGGAUCGUAAAACUCUGUUAUUAGGGAAGAACAUAUGUGUAAGUAACUGUGCACAUCUUGACGGUACCUAAUCAGAAAGCCACGGCUAACUACGUG